CACUGGCUGAACUGCUUACUGGGGUGUGGUCUCAGUCCUUUCCUACAGCCCUGUCCUGUGUAUGCUGUACCUAUACGUCUGCGCCUCCUACGGAAAGAGCAGAAUCCUGAGAGUCCCCUAACACAAGACCCUUAUUUAUCUCUUUAAACCAAUCUGUGGACUGGCUGACUUUCAGCUCUGAUACAGAGGAAAGGAACGGCUUCCCCAGGAGCUCUGCCCAGAUACAGAUUCUGGAGGAUUCUAAACCAUUCUUGGCAGAGAAUACAAAGGAAUGGCAUUUCAAGGAUACAAAGUAGCCACUUAAUAAAUAUAUGCUGAACGAUGA